AAGGAGCAUCGCUCGUAACUAGUUCACUUGGAAGCCAAAGGUAAAGGCAAGGGCAAACUUGAUCAGCCCUGACUUGGAGAGCUCUGUGAGCGGAAUGUACAUGACCAGCUGCUCAGCUGCCACAG